rnacentral:rRNA from 1 species
AUUGAACGCUGGCGGCAUGCUUUACACAUGCAAGUCGAACGGUAACAGGUUAAGCUGACGAGUGGCGAACGGGUGAGUAAUGCAUCGGAACGUGCCCGGUCGUGGGGGAUAACGCAGCGAAAGCUGCGCUAAUACCGCAUACGAUCUGAGGAUGAAAGCGGGGGACCGUAAGGCCUCGCGCGAUCGGAGCGGCCGAUGUCAGAUUAGGUAGUUGGUGGGGUAAAGGCUCACCAAGCCGACGAUCUGUAGCUGGUCUGAGAGGACGACCAGCCACACUGGGACUGAGACACGGCCCAGACUCCUACGGGAGGCAGCAGUGGGGAAUUUUGGACAAUGGGCGAAAGCCUGAUUCAGCAAUGCCGCGUGCAGGAAGAAGGCCUUCGGGUUGUAAACUGCUUUUGUACGGAGCGAAAAGGCUCUCUCUAAUACAGGGGGCUCAUGACGGUACCGUAAGAAUAAGCACCGGCUAACUACGUGCCAGCCGCCGCGGUAAUAC